rnacentral:rRNA from 1 species
UACGAAGGGGGCUAGCGUUGCUCGGAAUGACUGGGCGUAAAGGGCGCGUAGGCGGAUUGCUUUGUCAGACGUGAAAUUCCAGGGCUCAACCUUGGGGCUGCGUUUGAGACGGGUGAUCUUGAGUUCGGAAGAGGGUCGUGGAAUUCCCAGUGUAGAGGUGAAAUUCGUAGAUAUCGGGAGGAACACCAGUGGCGAAGGCGGCGAUCUGGGUCGAUACUGACGCUGAGGUGCGAAAGCGUGGGGAGCAAACAGG